UUCAGAGAAUGUCAAACAUGCUUAGUACUAAGGUUUGGCAGCAGAGGACUCCAAGAAAUUUCUUGGUCACAAAGCAAUAUUGAAACCAAUUGCAACAAGAAAAUGUACACUGUGGAAUCCCUAUCAUGUUUGUUAAGAAGAUGCAAGUCAAGCAGGAAGUUAGUCUCUUGGAUCAGACUUGAAGUAGAACUUUGGUAGAAUAUCAAGGUUAGUUUUUAUAUUCUUUUUAUUGUCUUUUCAGUCCAUCUAUUUCAAUUUAAGCUUUUUUUAAAUCAUUUUUUACUCUUUGAAUGAAUGUAAUCAAGUCCUCAAAACUGUAUUAAUCAUGAAAGUAUAUAAUAUACUCUACACAAUUCAUUCAUAAUAAUCAUUGUACCAUACAUAAUUUAGAAAAAUAAUGCAAAUUCUUUACCUCUUAUAUGAACCAUAGAAUGUAUGAGCAAUAAAAGUUAUUAAUCGGCAUGUUCAAAGAGUAGAUGGGGAAAUUGAUUGCAUUCAUUUAAAAAGUAGAGGGAUUAAAAAAAAACUUAAAUUGAAGUAAGAUGAUUAAA